GUAGCAGUUCAUUGCGGUUGCCCUCCGUCUCCUUCAUCUCGAUCGCUGCCCUAGGGGGGAAGUAUGGCCAAGAGUUCUUUCAAGCAGGAGCAUGACCUUGAGAAGCGGAGGGCUGAGGCGGCGAGGAUCAGGGACAAAUACCCCGACAGAAUUCCGGUGAUUGUGGAGAAAGCUGACAGAAGUGAUAUACCAAAUAUUGACAAGAAAAAGUACCUUGUGCCAGCAGACUUGACAGUGGGGCAGUUUGUGUAUGUGAUCCGCAAGAGAAUCAAGUUGAGUGCGGAGAAGGCUAUCUUCAUAUUUGUAGACAAUGUGCUUCCACCAACAGGAUCUGUGAUGUCUACAAUCUAUGAUGAGAAGAAGGACGAAGAUGGGUUUCUCUAUGUCACUUACAGCGGAGAGAACACAUUUGGUCUUCAGAUUGUAUCUUAAAAUGCCGAAUAUACUGUUGAAAAUAUUCUAUUCGGUGUCCUGUAGAAGCAUGUAUAACUUGUACAGUUAUGCAUUUACGAUGGGAGCUGUUCAGAACUUUGAAUUAGUCCCGGUUAAAUAAUUGAUUGCUAUCCGGUAUUUG
rnacentral:misc_RNA from 1 species